UUCUUGGGAAAAAAAGCUUUGUUACCAAUUGAUGUAGAAUCCUCAUUUCAAUGGACAGGAUCUUGGCUUCUAGUUUAUUUAGGCUUCCCGAGUAGGUUCCUCCUAAAAUCACAUUAAUUCCUUCUUCCUUCACUGGGAGUUCCAUGUUUGAAUAUCCCUCACAGGGCAAAUGAAGAAUCUCUCCCAAAAUAACAGGAUCUAAAC
rnacentral:lncRNA from 1 species